rnacentral:misc_RNA from 1 species
GUCGUAACAAGGUUUCCGUAGGUGAACCUGCGGAAGGAUCAUUACCACACCUCAUUAAUGCCUUUUACAAUAUUGAUAUGCAAAUAUUAAUUGCGUAAAAUGGUAUGUCCCGUGAACUUUAUUUAUUAUAGUCAUUUCAUUGAUGCAUUUGUUUUCAAUCACUUAUGGGAUUGUUAAUAAUGCGAAAUGACUCAAAACCAUUUUUUUAUCCACACUUUGGUGUGGUUAAAAUUUGUUUGAUUAUGAAAAUUUAUUAGCAUAAUUUCGAUUAUGCAACAAAUAAAUAAUGUCAAAACACUUUCAGCAAUGGAUGUCUUGGCUCCCA